CAGUAGCCGCGGUAAUACGAAGGUCCCGAGCGUUGUUCGGAAUCACUGGGCGUAAAGGGAGCGUAGGCGGUAUGGUAAGUCAGAUGUGAAAUCCCGGGGCUCAACCCCGGAACUGCAUCCGAUACUGCCGUGCUAGAGGACUGGAGAGGCAACUGGAAUUCUCGGUGUAGCAGUGAAAUGCGUGGAGAUCGAGAGGAACACUCGUGGCGAAAGCGAGUUGCUGGACAGUAUCUGACGCUGAGGCUCGAAGGCCAGGGUAGCGAAAGGGAUUAGAUACCCCUGUAGUCCCUGUCUCUUAUAC
rnacentral:rRNA from 1 species